GCCUCGAUAGCGCAGUAGUCAGCGCGCGAGUCUCAUAAUUCUCGAUGCGUGAAUUCGAACCUCACUCGGGGCA
rnacentral:tRNA from 1 species